AUCUAGUUAAAUAAAGUUGGAAAUAUUGAAAGACCCCCAGAGCGGGGAGACCCUCACUCAAGUCUCGGGAUGAUGCGACCCCCCAAGAACUCACGUGAUACC
rnacentral:pre_miRNA from 14 species